UGCCUCUGUUUCUCUCCUGGCCUGGCUUUGAUAUCUUCUCUCCACCCAACUUCCACUCUCCACCUUAUCAUCUAAAAUUAGAGCUUCCAGCAUCUGUCAUUGCUUGGGGAAUGCUUGCUGGCAGAAUGUACAGUUGUGUCACCCAGUACAUCACCCUUGACCAUCCUUUUCCUGUCCUGUAGCCAAGGUCAGGUAGGGAAGAGGAACAAAACAAGCACAGGCCUCUUGGGUCAGGUACUUUAUCAGCACAGGAAUGGCUUUCUGCUGAAGUCUCCAAGGAAGAGCAUCAGGAGCAGUGGACACCUCAGGGUCAGGCCCAAGCUUGUGUGGUCAGUUACAGAUGGCAUCAUUGUGGGAGUGGAGUGCUGCUGUACUCACCAUGAAAAGAGCUGGCUGCCUAGACACAGCUUCUGUGGCGCAGUGUUGAGGGAUCAAACUCAGGACUUUGCACUUGCCAGGCAGGCGCGGCCCCACUGAGCUACAUCCUCGUCCCAACUCUUAUCUACCCUCAGCUAAACAAGUCUAGGAAGUCUGAAACACCAAAACAUGCAGGAAAUUUGAGCAUACAGCCUGAGAGGACUGUUAUAAUGUUUGAGAUGUACAAAC